rnacentral:rRNA from 1 species
UACGUAGGGUGCGAGCGUUAAUCGGAAUUACUGGGCGUAAAGCGUGCGCAGGCGGUUUUGUAAGACAGGUGUGAAAUCCCCGGGCUUAGCCUGGGAACUGCGCUUGUGACUGCAAGACUCGAGUACGGCAGAGGGGGGUAGAAUUCCACGUGUAGCAGUGAAAUGCGUAGAGAUGUGGAGGAAUACCGAUGGCGAAGGCAGCCCCCUGGGUCGAUACUGACGCUCAUGCACGAAAGCGUGGGGAGCAAACAGG